rnacentral:rRNA from 1 species
GACGAACCGUGCGAACGUUAUUCGGAAUCACUGGGCUUAAAGCGCGUGUAGGCGGGACGGCACGUCGGUCGCUGAAAGCCCCCGGCUCAACCGGGGAACGGGCGCCGAUACGACCGGCCUGGAGGGACGUAGGGGGACCUGGAACUUCCGGUGGAGCGGUGAAAUGCGUAGAUAUCGGAAGGAACGUCGAUGGCGAAGGCAGCCACCUGGCAUGAUACUGACGCUGAGGCGCGAAAGCGUGGGGAGCAAACAGG